CCGCUACCGCUCGCCCCUCUCUCGCACGCCUCUUUCUCUCUCGCACGCCCCUUCUGGCCAAUCUCUCGACCACGCCCCCGCUCGGCCCCUUUGGCCAACCGCUCGCCCUGCCGCCGCUCGGCCCCUUCUCGCCAACCGCUCGCCCCGCCGCCGCUCGGCCCCGCCACCGCCCCGCGAACGGCUGCUCCGAUCAACAUCGACAGUUUCACGGCGGGCUAUUCGGCGGCGGGAGGAUUCGCGGCGUGCUGGGUGGUCUCGGCGUCGGAUGCCAUCGCGCGGGUUGCCGCCUCUGCUGCCGCUCUCCGAUCCUCCUGCUUCGACCGACCCCUCACAGGGGUUGUCCUUCUCCUUGCCGCGACAUCUUCCUCCCCAAUUCACUUCCUCUUCCCACCUGGUUGAUUAUUGAUUAUUAACUUCUCGGUUCUUACAGUCCUGGUGGUGAGGAUGCAGAGUGAUGUGGUGAGGAGCAACAGUUGCAGAGCAUUAGCACCGCGGCCAUUCAGUUCUAUGGUGGUGAAGUGCACACACGGACGAGGAAAGGAACGCAUAUAGAAGCUCAUGUAUUUGUUAUCUUAGUCCCUGAAUCAUUAUUCCUGUCCCGAAACUACUCGAUGUCCAAUACUUUGGUGCCUGACCACGAAUGUGCAAAGUUGUUCCUUCAACGCAAAGCUGCAAACGUGAUUUGAAAGUACCGGGUUUAUACAGUGGAGGAUCCUGAAUUGAUGCAUAUAUUGCCUCAAAAGGUGCAUCGGAAUUGUUUAUCUCAUUGCAUCAGA